rnacentral:rRNA from 1 species
GAUGAAUGCUGGCGGCGUGCUUAACACAUGCAAGUCGAACGAAGCACUUUAACUUGAUUUUUUUGGAAUGAUAGUUAUUGUGACUGAGUGGCGGACGGGUGAGUAACGCGUGGGUAACCUGCCUCAUACAGGGGGAUAACAGUUGGAAACGACUGCUAAUACCGCAUAAGCGCACGGUAUCGCAUGAUACAGUGUGAAAAACUCCGGUGGUAUGAGAUGGACCCGCGUCUGAUUAGCUAGUUGGCGGAGUAACGGCCCACCAAGGCAACGAUCAGUAGCCGACCUGAGAGGGUGACCGGCCACAUUGGGACUGAGACACGGCCCAAACUCCUACGGGAGGCAGCAGUGGGGAAUAUUGCACAAUGGGCGAAAGCCUGAUGCAGCGACGCCGCGUGAACGAUGAAGUGUUUCGGUAUGUAAAGUUCUAUCAGCAGGGAAGAAGAAUGACGGUACCUGACUAAGAAGCACCGGCUAAAUACGUGCCAGCCGCCGCGGUAA